rnacentral:rRNA from 1 species
GUUGGGCCUGCUCGGUGAGAAGAAAAAUUUAACAGCUGCGGUAUUAUAACUGUACUAAGGUAGCAUAAUAAUUUGCCUUAUAAAUUAAGGCUAGAAUGAAUGGUUUGACGAAAAUUAGACUGUCUUUAUUUUAUUUGUUAGAAAAUAAUUUUUAUAGUGAAAAAGCGUGAAUAAUUUAAGGGGACGAGAAGACCCUAUUGAGCUUUAUUUAUUAAUAUUUAAAUAUAAAUAUAUAAUUUAUAUUAUGAAAAUUAUGUUGUAUAUAUAUAUAUAUAUAUAUAUUUAAUUGGAUUUAAUUUUGAUUGGGGUGAUCAAGGAAUAAAGAUAAAGUAACUUCCUUAAAAUUAAUGAUUGUUUUUAUAGAGUAAUAAACCAAGUUUUUUGCUUAUAAGAUAAGUUACCAUAGGGGUAACAGCGUAAUUUUUUUUGAGAGUUCAUAUUGAAAAAAGAGAUUGCGACCUCGAUGUUGGAUUAAAAAUUACCUUAAGG